rnacentral:sRNA from 1 species
UAAUGCGGUCCGGAGUCAGUGGGUUAUCAUGACGGAUUUUCCAGACGGCCCUAUGUGGCAACUCUUCCCAUUGGCACAACUUGACCGCAUU